AAACACUCUUUGAUGUCUACUUUACUCGGCUGCUGCUUUAAUUUUGGCACUGAACCACCCUCAGCCCCCUUCCUCCCCACCAGCCUUUCGCUUUUUUCAUCUGAAAUCUAUCGUGGAGGCGGGAGGGAGAAUACUGCUGGGGAUUAAGGGGUUAAAAAGAACAGCUUCGUGAAGAGGAUGGGAAAUCACGCACGCACCAUCUCCCCACGCCAACUCCACCCACCCUGAGUGGAGCAGGGACUUCCUGUGACAGUUCAUUUCCUGGUUGGAUAGAGCUGGAGGAGAGGUGGGGGGUUGGAGUCAGAUCAGCCCUGUAAUGGUCUCUGGUUAUCAGCUGCUGUUCGCUUCCUUUAAGUGGCAAUGUUACCUUAUAACCAUGUUCCAGCCAGGGUUAAUAGAGAGGCUGCAGCAAUGGUAACACUGUGGCCAAGCUGCUAGCUCCAGCCUAUUUGCAGCAAAGCGCUGGGACAGCCGCCCCUUUAGCACCUGGGUGCGGGGGGUUACAUGGGUUUAUUAUCUGCUCAGGAAGGGGUCUAAAUCUGACCAGCUCUGCCUGCCAGGAGGGGAAAAAAGCAUCUGCCCUACUUAAAACAAACAAAUCACCACUAGGAGUGGAUUAUUUUUUAUUGGCUGGAAUCAAGAAGGGUGGAGGGGGGGAUUGGACCUUGACGACAACAACAUCACCUUUAAUCAUAAAUACAAUUAUUUCUCUGGAGAGAUGAAGAAGUUUUUUGACUCUCGUCGAGAGCAGGGUGGUUCUGGCCCUGGUUCUGGUACCAGUGGAGGAAGUGCCAGUAAUACAGUGGCAGGGAGUGGGUACGUUGGCAGGGUGUUCCAUAUUGGGAGAUACCAGGUGACGGUGGAUGAAGUGCUGGCUGAAGGUGGAUUUGCUAUUGUGUUUCUGGUGAGGACUAACAAUGGGAUGAAAUGUGCCCUGAAACGAAUGUACGUCAACAAUGAGCACGAUUUGCAAGUCUGCAAAAGAGAGAUUCAGA